UGUAAGCGUAUACCAAAGUUGUUGCAGUUAAAACGCUCGUAGUCGGACUUUGGCGGUUCCGGAAGCGUGCCGCGUCGUGCGGCCGCUUUGCAGGGACUGCUUUUGUGGGUUUCGCGUCAGAUGAGGGCUGUUAAUUCGGUAACGUCUGUACGCAACCACUUUUUACUGUGAGAAAAUCAGAGUGCUCAAAGCAGGCAUUUGCCGUGAAUGUAUUAGCAUGGAAUAAUAGAAUAGGACUUGGUUCUAUUUUGUUGGUUUGUUGGGACUGAGUAAUGAUUAAGAGGGACAGUUGGGGGCAUUUGUAUUUCGGUGCUAGAGGUGAAAUUCUUAGAUUACCGAAAGACAAACUGCUGCGAAAGCGUCUGCCAAGGAUGUUUUCAUUGA
rnacentral:rRNA from 1 species